rnacentral:rRNA from 1 species
ACUUGUUUAACUAUGGCAAUAGAAAGUUAGUUUUGGUUAGCUGCAUAAAAUAGUUUUAUAGUCAGGUAAGAGUUUGUUUUUGCUUAGUUUAUUAGCAGCUAGUUUUUUAUUAGAAUAAAUGUUUUUUAAGAAUACUUAAUAAUAGAGGGGACAGGACACAGUGCCAGCAUCCGCGGUUAAUCUGUUUUCUUUGCUUUCUGGUAGACUAAUUUUAUGUAUUUAAGGGUAGAAUUAGGUGAAAUUUUUCUAUUUAUAUAUUUAAUGCUUAAUUUUUAAUAAAUAAAUUUUAUGACAGGGAUUAGAUACCCCAUUAAUUUGUUAUUAUAAUUUGUCUUAGUUUCAUAACUAAAA